UGCACUCAAAGAGAAGCAGUGUGCGUCCCUCGCGAAGCUGCGCGCUCUGUCGAAGAGGAUGACCACUCCCAAUAGAGGAGGACCAUUUCUCUGCCAAGGGUAUACGAGUAGCUGCGCUCCCCUGCUAGAACCUCCAAACAAGCUGUCAAAGGCAGGCAGUGGGAUUCCCUCUGCCCUUGUCUUGAUCUCAGCUGGCUACAUGUGGACCAGCGUAUGG
rnacentral:snRNA from 1 species